UACGGAGGAUCCAAGCGUUAUCCGGAUUUAUUGGGUUUAAAGGGUGCGUAGGCGGAUUGAUAAGUUAGAGGUGAAAUGUCCGAGCUCAACUCGGGAACUGCCUCUAAUACUGUUGAUCUAGAGAGUAGAUGCGGUAGGCGGAAUGUAUGGUGUAGCGGUGAAAUGCUUAGAGAUCAUACAGAACACCGAUUGCGAAGGCAGCUUACCAAUCUAUAUCUGACGUUGGGGCACGAAAGCGUGGGGAGCAAACAGG
rnacentral:rRNA from 1 species